rnacentral:rRNA from 1 species
UACAGAGGGGGCAAGCGUUGUUCGGAAUUACUGGGCGUAAAGGGCGCGUAGGCGGCCUGCUAAGUCGAACGUGAAAUCCCUGGGCUCAACCCAGGAACUGCGUCCGAUACUGGUUGGCUUGAAUCCGGGAGAGGGAUGUGGAAUUCCAGGUGUAGCGGUGAAAUGCGUAGAUAUCUGGAGGAACACCGGUGGCGAAGGCGGCAUCCUGGACCGGCAUUGACGCUGAGGAGCGAAAGCCAGGGGAGCAAACGGG